AACGAACGCUGGCGGCAUGCCUAACACAUGCAAGUCGAACGAGACCUUCGGGUCUAGUGGCGCACGGGUGCGUAACGCGUGGGAACCUGCCCUUAGGUUCGGAAUAACUCCCCGAAAGGGGUGCUAAUACCGGAUAAUGUCUUCGGACCAAAGAUUUAUCGCCUUUGGAUGGGCCCGCGUUGGAUUAGCUAGUUGGUAGGGUAAAAGCCUACCAAGGCGACGAUCCAUAGCUGGUCUGAGAGGAUGAUCAGCCACACUGGGACUGAGACACGGCCCAGACUCCUACGGGAGGGAGCAGUGGGGAAUAUUGGACAAUGGGCGAAAGCCUGAUCAAGCAAUGCCGCGUGAGUGAUGAAGGCCUUAGGGUUGUAAAGCUCUUUUACCCGGGAUGAUAAUGACAGUACCGGGAGAAUAAGCGCCGGCUAACUCCGUG
rnacentral:rRNA from 1 species